UUUAAUUCGAUGCAACGCGAAGAACCUUACCUGGCCUUGACAUCCACGGAAUUCGGCAGAGAUGCCUUAGUGCCUUCGGGAACCGUGAGACAAGUGCUGCGUGGCUGUCGUCAGCUCGUGUUGUGAAAUGUUGGGUUAAGUCCCGCAACGAGCGCAACCCUUAUCCUUUGUUGCCAGCGAGUAAUGUCGGGAACUCAAAGGAGACUGCCGGUGAUAAACCGGAGGAAGGUGGGGAUGACGUCAAGUCAUCAUGGCCCUUACGGCCAGGGCUACACACGUGCUACAAUGGCGCAUACAAAGAGAAGCGACCUCGCGAGAGCAAGCGGACCUCAUAAAGUGCGUCGUAGUCCGGAUCGGAGUCUGCAACUCGACUCCGUGAAGUCGGAAUCGCUAGUAAUCGUAGAUCAGAAUGCUA
rnacentral:rRNA from 1 species